rnacentral:rRNA from 1 species
CGGCGGACGGGUGAGGAACACAUCGGAAUCUACCCUGUCGUGGGGGACAACGUAGGGAAACUUACGCUAAUACCGCAUACGACCUUUGGGUGAAGCGGGGACCGCAAGGGCCCGCGCGAUUGGAUGAGCCGAUGUCCGAUUAGCUAGUUGGCGGGGUAAUGGCCCACCAAGGCGACGAUCGGUAGCUGGUCUGAGAGGACGACCAGCCACACUGGAACUGAGACACGGUCCAG